rnacentral:rRNA from 1 species
AUUGAACGCUGGCGGCAGGCCUAACACAUGCAAGUCGAACGAGUGGCGGACGGGUGAGUAAUGUCUGGGAAACUGCCCGAUGGAGGGGGAUAACUACUGGAAACGGUAGCUAAUACCGCAUACCAUCGGAUGUGCCCAGAUGGGAUUAGCUAGUAGGUGGGGUAACGGCUCACCUAGGCGACGAUCCCUAGCUGGUCUGAGAGGAUGACCGGCCACACUGGACCUGAGACAGGUUCCAGACCCCUCGGGGGGGCAGCAGUGGGGAAUAUUGAACAAUGGGCGCAACCUUGAGGCAGCCAUGCCGCGGGUAGGAAGAAGGCUUUCGGGUUGUAAAGUACUUUCAGCGAGGAGGCGUUACUCGCAGAAGAAGCCCCGGCUAAUUCCGUGCCAGCAGCCGGGUAAUAC